AUUGAACGCUGGCGGCAGGCCUAACACAUGCAAGUCGAACGAGUGGCGGACGGGUGAGUAAUGUCUGGGAAACUGCCUGAUGGAGGGGGAUAACUACUGGAAACGGUAGCUAAUACCGCAUACCAUCGGAUGUGCCCAGAUGGGAUUAGCUAGUAGGUGGGGUAAAGGUGCACCUAGGCGACGAUCCCUAGCUGGUCUGAGAGGAUGACCAGCCAGACGGGAACUGUGAAACGGUCCAGACUGCUACGUGAGGCAGCAGUGGGGAAUAUUGGAGAAUGGGGGCAAGCCUGAUGCAGACAUGCCGCGUGUAUGAAGAAGGCCUUCGGGUUGUAAAGUACUGUCAGCGGGGAGGCGUUACCCGCAGAAGAAGCCACGGCUAACUCCGUGCCAGCAGCCGCGGUAAUUC
rnacentral:rRNA from 1 species